rnacentral:rRNA from 1 species
UACGUAGGGUGCGAGCGUUGUCCGGAAUUAUUGGGCGUAAAGGGCUCGUAGGCGGUUUGUCACGUCGGGAGUGAAAACUCAGGGCUCAACCCUGAGCCUGCUUCCGAUACGGGCAGACUAGAGGUAUGCAGGGGAGAACGGAAUUCCUGGUGUAGCGGUGAAAUGCGCAGAUAUCAGGAGGAACACCGGUGGCGAAGGCGGGAUCCUGGGCCAGUACUGACGCUGAGGAGCGAAAGCGUGGGGAGCAAACAGA